rnacentral:rRNA from 1 species
CCUACGGUGCGCAGCAGUCGAGAAUCAUUCACAAUGGGGGAAACCCUGAUGGUGCGACGCCGCGUGGGGGAAUGAAGGUCUUCGGAUUGUAAACCCCUGUCAUGUGGGAGCAAAUUAAAAAGAUAGUACCACAAGAGGAAGAGACGGCUAACUCUGUGCCAGCAGCCGCGGUAAUACAGAGGUCUCUAGCGUUGUUCGGAAUCACUGGGCGUAAAGCGUGCGUAGGCUGUUUCGUAAGUCGUGUGUGAAAGGCGCGGGCUCAACCCGCGGACGGCACAUGAUACUGCGAGACUAGAGUAAUGGAGGGGGAACCGGAAUUCUCGGUGUAGCAGUGAAAUGCGUAGAUAUCGAGAGGAACACUCGUGGCGAAGGCGGGUUCCUGGACAUUAACUGACGCUGAGGCACGAAGGCCAGGGGAGCGAAAGGGAUUAGAUACCCCAGUAGUC